rnacentral:rRNA from 1 species
AACCGCGGUUAUACGAGAGACCCUAGUUGAUAGAUACGGCGUAAAGAGUGGUUAGGGGAAAAAAAUUAAUAAAGUUAAAUACCCCUUAAGUCGUUAAACGCCUCUCAGGGGUGUGAAACCCCACUACGAAAGUAACUUUAACUUUCCUGACCCCACGAAAGCUAAGAAA